GGCCUGGAGAAUUCCAUGGGCUCUCUAGUCCAUGGGAUCACAAAGAGUAGGACACGACUGACCUACUUUCACUUUCACUUUGACCAGUGGGAGCCUAUCGAGCUGGCUUUGGAAUCUUUGGACAGGUCUCCAACUCCUUUUGGGCACUUCAGUGCAGGAUUUUCCAGACUUUGUAUAUUCCCUGAUUGUACUUGGAAUCAAAAAUCUCUCCAAGGACCUUCAUUUUCUUUUGGAGAAAGAUAGUGUUUUGAAACCAAAUCCUUUCACUGGUUUUGCUCAUUGCUACUGGGUUGUCAUUUCUUCUAGCUUAUUUCAGUGGACAGCUUGGAACGUAGAUCGUUAAAAACAUGAGGCUUCAAGCUAGAGGUGGAAGAGGCCUGAGUGGUUUUAUGCCAUACUGUGAACUGCACGAGCAGCCUCACCCAGGAUACCGUUUCCAAGUCACGCAACGUCGGUGUUCAAGACUAUCCUGGUGACACUUCCAGUUCAACAAGCAGACCCCUGAGAGGACAGUGCGUGGUCAUCCAUAAAUGAUUAUCCGUGGAAAUAUGCUCUUGACUCCCAUGGAUGAGAAGAUCAUGACUGGCUCUGAAGGAUGCAGUCUCCGAUUUUCUUGGCUUCACUUGAACACUCUAAAAUCAUGUUUCCCAGUAGGGAAGCUGCCUCAGCCUGUGUAGGGGUCAAUAAAAACCUUUCUGUGAUGAGAGCAUACUCCAUAUGUUUAAGUGUUAUACCCAACA